rnacentral:rRNA from 1 species
UACGGAGGGUGCGAGCGUUAAUCGGAAUUACUGGGCGUAAAGGGUGCGUAGGUGGUUUGAUAAGUUAUCUGUAAAGCCCUGGGCUCAACCUGGGAAGGCCAGAUAAACUGUUAAACUGGAGUAUGGGAGAGGGUAGUGGAAUUUCGGUGUAGCGGUGAAAUGCGUAGAGAUCGGAAGGAACACCAGUGGCGAAGGCGGCUACCUGGCCUGAUACUGACACUGAAGCACGGAAAGCGUGGGGAGCAAACAGG